AUUACAUAGCAGAAAUUAGCACUGAGCAUUUCAGAUGCUUCAAAACGAGUUUGCAGUUAUGUAUUUUGGCAGAUCAAGGGGAGAUGUUUUCUUUCAAAUGGAUUAACUCAAAGAAGUAAUUUGUUUUUUACAAUAAGGGUGUUGAGGCAGUGGCACAGGUUGCCCAGAGAGGUGGUGGAUGCCCCAUCCAUGCAGAACCCCGAGGUCAGGCUGGAUGGGGCUCUGAGCACCUGAUGGAGCUGUAGGUGUCCCUGUUCAUUGCAGGGGAGUUGGUCCAGAUGGCCUUUAAGGGUCCCUUCCAACUCAAAAAAUCCUGUGAUUCUAUGAAGUGAGACGCAUCCUACGCCUACAAGAGAGUCCAGAAUGUCAGUGCUGAUUAAAACACACAAUCCAAUAUAUGCUAUUUUAGUAGGAAUAUAAUUACAUGAAGGAAAAUUCAUUUUAGUGUAUUUGAGGAAAUAUAUCCCACACUUUUGUCUCUCUGUUUCACUUUGGUUACUACACACAGAGUUGCCAACACCCACAGAAAGGGCAUCAAGAAUUAGGUACUGAUUGUUCUGUGGUGGUCCAGUUAUUCACUCAAGGAAACCCAUACACUUCUUUCCCUAUGAACUUCAAAAAUUUUCGACAGCUCCCUUCAAGGGCGGUGUCCUGGUUUCAGCAAAAAAAAGCGUUAGGGGCACACAGAGCUUCGGUCGCUGCUGAGCGGCGAGGCCGCACCCUGCGUCAGGCUGGGCCGCUGGGCGGGGCGGAGCCGCCGCCAUGAUGGACAGCAGCGGGGCCGGGGCGGGGCCGGGACUGAGUCCGCAUUGGGCAGGGGCUGUUCCAUACCGCGUGACGUCAGGCGGACGCCAUAAGGCUGUGGGAACGGCAGUGCUUGAUCGGCAGUUGUGGAGGUUGUGGUGUCGCCGUAGCUGUAGCUUUGUUUAUUGUUGUGUAUUCGUUGGUGGACGGAACAGGGAGCGCCUGCGGAGGAUGGCGAGUGCCUGCAGAGCAAGGGAGCACCUGCGGAUGAUGGGAGUACCUGCAGAGAAGAAGGAGGGUUUGCGGAGGACACAGUGCCGUCGGAGAAUACAGGUAGUGCGCCGGCGGAGGUUAGAGGUAGUGCGCUGUCAGAAGAUAGAGGUGGAGCAUCUGUGGAGGAUGGGAGCACUGUCAGAAGACAGAGGUAGUGCGCCGGUAGAGGUUAGAGGUAGUGCACCAUUGGAGGAUAAAGGUGGAGGGUUUGCGGAGGACGGGAACACCUGAGGAGAUGGGGAGUGCCUGCAGAGGACAGGAACGUCGUCAGAGGAUAGUGGUUGUGCGCUGGCAAAGGUUAGAGGUAGUGUGCUAGCAGAGGAAAGAGGUGCAACAGCUGCGGGGGAUGGGAGAGCCAUCAGAAGAUAGAGGUAGUGCGCCAGCAGAGGUUAGAUGUAGUGCGACAUUGGAAGAUAGAGGUGGAGUGUCUGUGGAGAAUGAAAGCACCUGCAGAGAACAGGGAGCGCCAGCAGAGGAUGGGAGCACCGUCAGAAGAUAGAGGUAGCACGCCGGUGGAGGUUAGAUGUAGUGUGCCAUCAGAGAAUAGAGGUGGAGUACCUGCAGAGGACAGGGAGCACCUGUGGGGAACAGGGAGCGCUUGCAGAGGACAGGAGCACCGUCAGAAUAUAGAGGUAGUGCGCCAGCAGAGGUUAGAGGUAGUGCACCAUUGGAGGACAGAGGUGGAUGGUCUGUGGAGGACAGGAGCACCUGAAGAAAACAGGGAGCACCUACGGGGGACGGGAGCUCAGUCAGAAGACAAAGGUAGCACCAGCAGAGAUUAGAGGUAACACACCAGCAGAGGAUAAGAGGUAGCACGCCGGCAAAGGUUAGAGGUAGUGCACUGUCAGACGAUAGAGGUGUAACGUAUGCGGAGAAAAAGAGGACCUGCGGAGAACAAGGAGUGCCAGCAGAUGAUGGGAGCACAAUCAGAAGAUAGAGGUAGCUUGCCGGCAGAGGUUAGAGGUAGUGCACUGUUGGAGGAUCAAAGUAGUGGGUCUGCGGAGAACAGGAGAACCUGCGGAGAACAGGGAGUGACUGCAGAGGACGGGAACACCGGCAGAAAACAGAAUUAGUGCACCGGCAGAGGUUAGAUGUAGUGCGCUGUUGGAGGAUAGAGGUGGAAUGUCUGCGGAGGAAAAGAGCACCUGCAGGGAACUGGAAGUAAUUGCGGAGGACAGGAGUGCCGUCAUAAGACAGAUUUAGUGCACUGGCAGAGGUUAGAUGUAGUGUGCCAUCAGAAGAUAUAGGUGGAGCAUCUGCGGAGGACAGGAGCAUCUGCGGAGAACACAGACGGCCUGCAGAUGAUGGGAGUGUUGUCAGAAGAUAGAGGUAGUGCGCUGGCAGAGGUUAGAUGUAGUGCCCCAUCAGAGGAUCGAGGUGGAGGGUCUAGGGAGGAAGAGAUCACCUGCAGAGAACAUGGAGAGCCUGUGCAGGACGGGAGCGCUGUCGAAAGACAGAGUUAGUGAGCUGGCAGAGUUUAGAUGCAGUGUGCCAUCACGGGAUAGAGGUGAAGAGUCUGCGGAGGACGGGAGCACCUGUGAAGAACAAAGAGUGCCUGCAGAUGACGGGAGCGCGAACAGAAGAUAGAGGUAGCACACUGGCAGUGGUUACAGGUAGUGCGCUGUCACAGGAUCGAAGUGCAAGGUCUGGGGAGGAUGGGAAUAUCUGUGGAGAUCAAGGAGUGCCUGCAGAUGAUGGAAGCAUGAUCUGAAGAUAGAGGUAGCUUGCAGGCAGAGGUUAGAGGUAGUGUGCUGUUGGAGGAUUGAGGUGGAGGGUCUGCAGAGGACGGGAGCACCUGCGGCAAGCAGGGACUGACUGCGGAGAACGGGAGUGCUGUCAGAAGGAAUAGCUAGUGAACCGGCAGAGGUUAGAGGUAGUGUGCCAUCAGAGGAUCGAGGUGGAGGGUCUGGGGUGGAUGGGAGCACCUGCAGCCAACAGGGAGCACCUGUGGAGGACAGGAGUGCUGUCAGAAGGCAUAGUUAGUGCACCAGCAGAGGUUAGAGGUAGUGUGCCAUCAGAGGAUAUAGGUGGAGGGUCUGCGGAGUAUCGGACCACCUGAGGACAACAGGGAGCACCUGCGGAGGAUGGGAGCGCUGUCAGAAGACAUAGUUAGUGCGCCGGCAGAGGUUAGAGGUAGUGUGCCUUCAGAGGACAUAGGUAGAGCACCUGUGGAGGAUGGGGGUACCUGCAGAGAACACAGAACACCUGGAGAUGAUGGGAGCACUGUCGGAAUGCGUAGUUAGUGCACCAGCAGAGGUUAGAUGUAGUGCAUCAUCAGAGGAUAUAGGUGGAGCAUCGGCAGAGGACGGGAAAACCUACAGAGAUCAAGGAGUGCCUGCAGAUGACAGGAGUGUUGUCAGAAGACAGAGGUAGCGCGCCGGCAGAGGUUAGAGGUAGUGCGCUGUCGGAGAAUCGAGGUGGAGCGUCUGGGGAGGACGGGAGCAUUUGCGGAGAACAGGGAGCACGUGCGGAGGAUGGGAGUGCUGUCAGAAGGUAUAGUUAGUGCGCCAGCAGAGGUUAGAUGUAGUGCGCUGUCGGAGGAUCUAGGUGGAGCGUCUGGGGAGGACAGGAGCACCUGCGGGGAACAGAGACUGCUUGCAGAUGAUGGGAGCGUGGUUAGAAGAUAGAGGUAGUGCGCCAGCAGAGGUUAGAGACAGAGUGACAUCAGAGGAUCGAGGUGGAGAGUCUGCGGUGGAUGGGAGCACCUGCCACCAACAGGGAGCACCCGUGGAGGACAGGAGUGCUUUCAGAAGGCAUAGUUAGUGCGCUGGCAGAGGUUAGAUGUAGUGUGACUUCAGAGGAUGUAGAUGGAGCAUCUGUGGAGGACGGGAGCACCUGCAGAGAACACAGAGCGCUGGCAGAUGAUGGCAGCGUUGUCAGAAGAUAGAGGUAGUGCGCCAGCAGAGGUUAGAGGUAGUGUGCCAUCAGAGGAUAGAGGUAGAGCACCUGUGGAGGAUGGGGGUACCUGCAGAGGACACAGAACACCUGCAGAUGAUGGGAGCACUGUCGGAAUGCAUAGUUAGUGCACCAGCAGAGGUUAGAGGUACUGCGCUGUCAGAGGAUAGAGCUAGAACUUCUGCAGAGGAUAGGAGCACCUGCAGAGAAGAGGAAGCGAUUGCCAAGGAUGGGAGCACCAUCAGAAGACAGAGUUAGUGCGCUGGCCGAGGUUAGAUGUAGUGCAUCAUCAGAGGAUAUAGGUGGAGCAUCGGCAGAGGACGGGAACACCUACAGAGAUCAAGGAGUGCCUGCAGAUGACGGGAGUGUUGUCAGAAGAUAGAGGUAGUGCGCUGUCGGAGGAUCGAGGUGGAGCGUCUGCGGAGGACGGGAGCAUUUGCGGAGAACAGGGAGCAGCUGUGGAGGACAGGAGUGCUGUCAGAAGUCAGAGUUAGUGCGCCAGCAGAGGUUAGAUGUAGUGUGCCUUCAGAGGAUAUAGGUGGAGCAUCUGUGGAGGAUAGGAGCACCUGUGGAGAACAGGAAGCGAUUGCCAAGGACAGCAGCACCAUCAGAAGACAGAGUUAGUGCGCCAGCAGAGGUUAGAUGUAGUGCAUCAUCAGAGGAUCGAGUUGGAGCGUCUGCGGAGAACAAGAGCAGCUGCGGAGAACACAGACGGCAUGCAGAUGAUGGGAGCGUGGUUAGAAGAUAGAGGUAGUGUGCCAUCAGAGGUUAGAUGUAGUGUGCCAUCAGAGGAUCAAGGUGGAGGGUCUGCCUAGGAUCGGAGUACCUCAGGAGAACAGGAAGCACCUGCGGAGGACAGGAGUGCUGUCAGAAGACAUAGUUAGUGCGCCGGCAGAGG
rnacentral:lncRNA from 1 species